CAAAUCAGGUAGGACUACCCGCUGAACUUAAGCAUAUCAAUAAGCGGAGGAAAAGAAACUAACAAGGAUUCCCCUAGUAACUGCGAGUGAAGCGGGAAAAGCUCAAAUUUGUAAUCUGGCGGUCUUGGGCCGUCCGAAUUGUAAACUAGAGAAGCGUUAUCCGCGCUGGACCGUGUACAAGUCCCCUGGAAUGGGGCGUCAUAGAGGGUGAGAAUCCCGUCUUUGACACGGACUACCAGGGCUUUGUGAUGCGCUCUCAAAGAGUCGAGUUGUUUGGGAAUGCAGCUCAAAAUGGGUGGUAAAUUCCAUCUAAAGCUAAAUAUUGGCGAGAGACCGAUAGCGAACAAGUACCGUGAGGGAAAGAUGAAAAGAACUUUGGAAAGAGAGUUAAACAGUACGUGAAAUUGCUGAAAGGGAAACGCUUGAAGUCAGUCGCGUUGGCUAGGGAUCAGCCUUACCUUGGUGAGGUGUACUUCCUUGUUGACGGGUCAGCAUCAGUUUUGGCUGCUGGAUAAAGGCUAAGGGAAUGUGGCACCUUCGGGUGUGUUAUAGCCCUUGGUCAGAUACAGUGGCUGGGACUGAGGAACUCAGCACGCGCAAGUUGUGCUUAGGAUGCUG
rnacentral:rRNA from 1 species